rnacentral:lncRNA from 1 species
CGCGACCAGCUCCGGCUGGUUGAGCUCCGCCGGCUGGGCUUUGGUCUUGAAGAAACGAGGGAGACAAGGAAGACGAUGAACAGUAGAUUUUGAGGGUAAAACAAGAAAACUCAAUUAUCAGUGAGGGCAAUAUUGGAAGAAAAAAAAUUCAUUAAACCCUCCUUCAACAUUCCGAAAAUGCUGAAUGCCCAAAGCAGGUCCCCACCGGCUUUGGGCUUUCAGCAUUUCAGAGCAUUCCAAAUGCUAGCAUUCCCCCAAGUAUACCUCAAAAUGCUGAACCAAACGGCUGAAAUUUUUCCCAAGGGGCUUUCGAGGCUGAAAGCCCCUUGGGAAUGCUGAAC